CUACGGGUCGCACCAGUGGGGAAUAUUGGGCAAUGGGCGCAAGCCUGACCCAGCAACGCCGCGUGAGGGAAGAAGGUUUUCGGAUUGUAAACCUCUGUCCUUGGGGACGAAGAAGUGACGGUACCCAAGGAGGAAGCUCCGGCUAACUACGUACCAGCAGCCGCGGUAAUACGUAUGGAGCAAGCGUUGUCCGGAAUUACUGGGCGUAAAGGGUGCGUAGGCGGCAUAUUAAGUCAGGUGUGAAAUACUCGGGCUCAACCCGAGGGGUGCAUUUGAAACUGAUAAGCUUGAGUGUGAGAGAGGAAAGUGGAAUUCCUAGUGUAGCGGUGGAAUGCGUAGAUAUUAGGAGGAACACCAGUGGCGAAGGCGACUUUCUGGCUCAUAACUGACGCUGAGGCACGAAAGCGUGGGGAGCAAACAGGAUUAGAUACCCCCGUAGUC
rnacentral:rRNA from 1 species